AAGCGGGAAGAGCUCAAAUUUAAAAUCUGGCGGUCUUUGGCCGUCCGAGUUGUAGCCUAGAGAAGCGUUUUCCGCGGCAGACCAUGUACAAGUCUCUUGGAACAGAGCGUCAUAGAGGGUGAGAAUCCCGUCCUUGACAUGGACCCCCGUCGCUUUACGAUGCGCUCUCGAAGAGUCGAGUUGUUUGGGAAUGCAGCUCAAAAUGGGUGGUAAAUUCCAUCUAAAGCUAAAUAUUGGCGAGAGACCGAUAGCGAACAAGUACCGUGAGGGAAAGAUGAAAAGCACUUUGGAAAGAGAGUCAAACAGUACGUGAAAUUGUUAAAAGGGAAACGAUCAAAGUCAGUCGCGUCUGCCGGGACUCAGCCUCGCCCUCGGGCGGGGUGCACUUCCCGGUGCGACGGGCCAGCGUCGAUUUCGGCCGGCGGAGAAGGGUCGGGGGAAUGUGGCUCCUUGCGGAGUGUUAUAGCCCCCGGUCGCAAACGUCGGCUGGGAUCGAGCUCGUACGCACGGCACGCCCCUUGGCGGUGCCCGCGCUGGCGUAAUGGCUUUGACCGACCCGUCUUGAAACACGGACCAAGGAGUCUAACAUGCACGCGAGUGUUUGGGUGUAAAACCCGAGCGCGUAAUGAAAGUGAUGGUCGGGAACCCCUCGCGGGGGGCACCGACGCCCGUGGCUGACCUUCUGCGACGCACACGAGGCGGAGCGCACAUGUUGGGACCCGAAAGAUGGUGAACUAUGCCUGAAUAGGGUGAAGCCAGAGGAAACUCUGGUGGAGGCUCGUAGCGAUUCUGACGUGCAAAUCGAUCGUCAAAUUUGGGUAUAGGGGCGANAG
rnacentral:rRNA from 1 species